CAAUAGCGUAUAUUAAAGUUGUUGCGGUUAAAAAGCUCGUAGUUGGAUUUCUGCCGAGGACGACCGGUCCGCCCUCUGGGUGAGUAUCUGGCUCGGCCUGGGCAUCUUCUUGGAGAACGUAGCUGCACUUGACUGUGUGGUGCGGUAUCCAGGACUUUUACUUUGAGGAAAUUAGAGUGUUCCAAGCAGGCUUACGCCUUGAAUACAUUAGCAUGGAAUAAUAAGAUAGGACCUCGGUUCUAUUUUGUUGGUUUCUAGAGCUGAGGUAAUGAUUAAUAGGGAUAGUUGGGGGCAUUCGUAUUUAACUGUCAGAGGCGAAAUUCUUGGAUUUGUUAAAGACGGACUACUGCGAAAGCAUUUGCCAAGGAUGUUUUCAUUGA
rnacentral:rRNA from 1 species